GACGAACGCUGGCGGCAUGCCUAAUACAUGCAAGUCGAGCGGAGUUGAUAGAAAGCUUGCUUUCUCGAUACUUAGCGGCGGACGGGUGAGUAACACGUAGGCAACCUGCCCUCAAGCUUGGGACAACUACCGGAAACGGUAGCUAAUACCGAAUACUUGUUUUCUUUGCCUGAAGGAAACUGGAAAGACGGAGCAAUCUGUCACUUGGGGAUGGGCCUGCGGCGCAUUAGCUAGUUGGUGAGGUAACGGCUCACCAAGGCGACGAUGCGUAGCCGACCUGAGAGGGUGAUCGGCCACACUGGGACUGAGACACGGCCCAGACUCCUACGGGAGGCAGCAGUAGGGAAUCUUCCGCAAUGGGCGAAAGCCUGACGGAGCAAUGCCGCGUGAGUGAUGAAGGUAUUCGGAUCGUAAAGCUCUGUUGCCAGGGAAGAACGCUUGGGAGAGUAACUGCUCCCAAGGUGACGGUACCUGAGAAGAAAGCCCCGGCUAACUACGUGCCAGCAGCCGCCGUAA
rnacentral:rRNA from 1 species